rnacentral:lncRNA from 1 species
UCUUCCGGGCCGCUGGGCCGGGAGGUGCCGAGGGGGCGGGGUCCAGCCGCGCCCUCAGGAGCUACCCCGGUUAGGGAGGUGCUGUCCUGGCGUCGGGUGGGGACGGGGAGGGCGUCGAGGGUGCUGCGACUUCUGCCCACCUGGCCCGGCCUCAGUCUCUGAGUUCCUGUUCCUCACAGGAGCUAAUUAUUUAUGACAGCUGCAAGGUGCCCCUCCCCCAGUUACUCAGUGCUUGGCACUCAGCACCCCUUAACUCAGCACUCAGUACCGCACUCAGCCUCUGAGGACCUGGGCAGAGGGAAGCAGGGAGUCUCCUGCGGAAACUCUUGCUCUGCCAAAGGCCUGGACAGCGAAUGAGGAAGACUUACUGCAGAAAUUCAGAGCCUAGCAACCUGGACCAGGGUGGAGGCAGCAGACGAGGGAUGCUUAAACGAAUACUUAAAAUGGAGGAGAGGACCUCUACUUUGCAAAGAAAUUCUGUGACUGUCUUAUCCGUGAGUCAAGAUUUACAAGAACUCAUCAGAAGAAAUGGGUAGACAUGAAACUGGAAUUAGCUUGAGGAGAAUUACAGGGUAUCAUGGGGAAUUUAAGUCCACGGAUAAAAAUAAUGUCACCCUCCUGAAUAUUUCAACCUUUUACAACCUAUCACCACUUCAACCUUUGGUGUCAGUCUCUGAUUUUAACAAGAUUUUAUCUUAGGACUAAUGAUACAAAUUUCACCCGUCCCUGACUAACUCUCAUUGAAAUAUAGAGAAACAGAUGAUCAAGACUCUGCUAGCAGGAGAAAAAGAGAGAAAAGAGAGAUGAACAAGUCUUGUGUGACCAGAAGCUUAUCAACCUUGUAUGCUGUUGGCUUAGUUUAACAUUUACAGCAGAUGAUAGAUCCCUGAAUUGUGUUCAGAUCACACAGUAAGGCGUCAAAUGACCUAACGAAACCAAGACGGCACUGAACCGCAAGGUGAGAGAUUGUACAGACAUCAUUUAAAGGUUUGUGUCCCCACUUAAAGGUUUGUGUCCCCCUUUGGCCGUCCAGACAUGAAAACUUCUUAUCUGGGUGUGACUCAGAUACCACUCUGGAGUAGGCUGACUUUGUAACUCGGGAGCGCACAGAAUGGCAGGAAGCAAAGCAACAGUCAGAGGAACAACCUGGGCCAACGUGGCACGAGAUCAAAGAGGAGCACAGGACAUGCUGAGCCCAGAGGGGGUGAGUCAGAGGGAGAAGAGGAUGUUUUCUUGUGGUCACUGCAGACGCAGGUUUUGUUAUGAGCACUAGGUGAGCUGAAAAGCCCUCAUCCUGAUUCUAGGUCCGCAAGCCAAGAAGGUGGAGCAGGUUCUCGUGGGGCUCUGUCUCCAGAGACCUUGUGUGAGCUUAGUCAUGAGAGGCCCAAGGCUAACAUUUAGAUCCUGCUGCUCCAGGAAAGGGAAUUAAGGGCUUUAAAAAUGGAUGCUGAAUUGCCUGAACCCGGGAGGCAGAGGCUGCAGUGAGCCAAAGUCACACCGUUGCACUCCAGCCUCGGUAACAAGAACAAAACUCCGUCUAAAAAAAAAAAAGCAUAUGCUGAGGCCAGGCUCACUGCUACCUCCGCCACCUAGGUUCAAAUGAUUCUCCUGCCUCAGCCUCCCGAGUAGCUGGGAUUACAGGUACCUGCCACCAUGCCUGGCUAAUUUUUUUGUAGUUUUUGUAGAGACAGGGUUUCACCAUAUUGGUCAGGCUGGUCUCAAACUCCUGACCUCAGGUGAUCCACCUGCCUCAGCCUCCCAAAGUGCUGGGAUUACAGGUGUGAGCCACCAUGUCCAGCCUAUUUUUAUUU